rnacentral:rRNA from 1 species
AGAGUUUGAUCCUGGCUCAGGACGAACGCUGGCGGCGUGCCUAAUACAUGCAAGUCGAACGGUAGCACAGAGGAGCUUGCUCCUUGGGUGACGAGUGGCGGACGGGUGAGUAAUGUCUGGGAAACUGCCCGAUGGAGGGGGAUAACUACUGGAAACGGUAGCUAAUACCGCAUAACGUCGCAAGACCAAAGAGGGGGACCUUCGGGCCUCUUGCCAUCAGAUGUGCCCAGAUGGGAUUAGCUAGUAGGUGGGGUAACGGCUCACCUAGGCGACGAUCCCUAGCUGGUCUGAGAGGAUGACCAGCCACACUGGAACUGAGACACGGUCCAGACUCCUACGGGAGGCAGCAGUGGGGAAUAUUGCACAAUGGGCGCAAGCCUGAUGCAGCCAUGCCGCGUGUAUGAAGAAGGCCUUCGGGUUGUAAAGUACUUUCAGCGGGGAGGAAGGUGUUGAGGUUAAUAACCGCAGCGAUUGACGUUACUCGCAGAAGAAGCACCGGCUAACUCCGUGCCAGCCGCCGCGGUAAUAC